UUGGGGGCCUGGUUCUGACCCACACUUGUUUAGUUACUGUAUCAAAGUCUGCAAUGGAGUUGGAGGAGUGUAAUUGUUUAAUUAUUUAGUUUAUUAAAGCACUUCAAGUAAUUGGAGAAGUGUAAUUAUCUUUGAAUAUUGUUCAAUUAGUGUUCAUUUAUAUUGCCCUCUAAUUUGAAAGUCUUAUUCUCUUUGUUCAAGUUUGCUCGCUAACAAGUGUUCAUUGGCCUUGUGCCUUUCUGAAAUGUGGGUUAUAGAUGAGACUAUAGCUGUUACCAACUGCCAGAGCUGAAAAGCUUGCUAUGCACUAAUUAGAAAUUCGGCCUUCACUUUUAGUUUGCCUGACAUGAUUCCAGUAUACAGUGUCUGCGAUGAACCAUGGCAGAAAUGUGCUAUCCUUUUUGGUCUAGGCAUCACUUUUGAGGUAGUUAGCCAGCCUGGCUUUUGAUGGGUUUCGGUGGCCAGUGAUGGCUCUGUUUAUUAGUUUCUUGUUGCAUAUUCCUCACCAGCCACAUGGAUUAAAUUAAUGGCUACACAUUGGUGUUGAUUAACAGUUAUUGUAUUUGUAUGCAUUUUUACUGAGUUUAUCAAUAUCUGUUGGAAUUCCUGAAUGCUCAAAUGCAUGUAUUGAAGUUCUUUGAAUUUACCUUUGAAUGCACUGCAGACAAACUGGCGAAGGCCAAAGGGUAUUGAUUCAAGGGUCAGG
rnacentral:misc_RNA from 1 species